GUCAAUGUGGGGUAGUGGUUUCAGUGUUGGACUACAACUCCAGAGACCAGGGUUCGAUUCCCAGCUUGGCCA